GCUCCACUGUCCCCAACCUUGCGCCAUGGCGAAGAGGCGGAGGGAAGCGGCGGGUCGCAGCCUUCCACCGUGCACCCCCGUCCGCAGGAACAAAAAUCAUCUUCUGGUUCUAAGUGCUCGGCAUGGAUUCUCGUGGAUUUUCCCUUCGUUUUUGGCUGUGUUUCUUUUAAUCCCCACGGCUAGGUCUUUGCGACCCAUUCUGGAUCGUCUUAAGACGUAAGCAUAGGCAUAGGCGAAAGUGAUAUUUCGGUUGGUGCUUGAUGCUGGGGAGUUUAUCCUCUAGGAAUUUGGGAGGAACACUUGUGAUUUGCAGGUAGAUUUUACUUAGAGGUGACAGGUAUUUGGUUUUAGGUUGUGCCAAGAACAUUCAUAUUUGGUCUGCUGGGCAAUUUCAAAGUGUAUCUGCUCUUGCUGCCAUAAGAAUUUUUUUCCCCUUCCAAAACUGCUUGAUGAAGGUCUGAUCCACUUCUGCAUACCAUUAUAUGUUAAGACAUGUUGGCUUUGCUUCUAGGCUUCAUUUACUGGGGGUUUCACUUUCACCAUGCUCUUGGCUCCAGCUUUUCAGGCAACAAGUUAGAGGUAGUGAAAACAAUCCAACUUCUGACUCCACAGGGAUCAAAUUAAGAUCGAUAUUUGACAUACUCUCUAAUGCUGCCGCACUAUUGUUGGUGCUUCAACUCCUCCAAGAGUUAGCACUGGAUUGGUUAGUCAAUGCUUGAGGCAAUACUAUAUGCAGAUCUCUGCAUCUGGAUAGUGGAUCCAUUUGUCCAUGGGGUCAGAAAAUGCUAGUGGCAAUUAUAUUAGAGUGAGGUUAGAGUUUGCGUCUCGAGAACCCUUGGAGUACUGGUGUUACUUGGAGCCAAACUAAUGGCUCUAGCUUCUCCAUGCUGUAGAAUAUAGAGCCAGAGAUUCAACAAAACCGGGCACAGGUCAAGGCUGGUUAUUGAGACGCGGCAUACACGAUUUCUGUCUUUGGAUAUUCAAAGAAUAUCCCUAAGUCAUGGUAGUAUCUAGUAUGGUUACUAUACGGUCCCUGGGUUCAGCUGAUUGGUUGCAAGUUCAAACAGCAGGAAUAAUAUAGUACCCAAUAAUUUGGAGUGUCUGUUUUCCCCUUACUGAUACUUGAUCCCAUGCUUUGGUGAUCUUCAGUCCUCUGAAUGAGUCAAAGAAGACCUGGAAUCGUUAACCUUGCCCUGAUUGCAGGAUCAAAGGAAGUUGCUCAUUGACUGGUUCUGGAGUUACAGUUCUGCAAAAAUGUCCCUAGCAAGCAUCAAGCGGUAUUGGCUGGAGAAAAAACAUCAGUUGACAGUGAAAAUGUCCUCUGAAAGGGUCAAAGAAUACCUGGAACCGUUAAGCUUGGCCUGAUUGCUGCACAUCCAACUGGGGUGCGAUUUGGCAGCCUCGGAUGGUUACCCGAAGGAGGGGGAGUUAGCUGCGACUGUGGAGGGAAGCUGGCGUGUGUGACAUCAUGCCAUUUGGUCGACUUGGAGCUGGGGGAGGGGCCAAUGGUGUGGCGUCAUGGCAAUAAUGCAUUAGAUUUAGCUACAGUGGUACAACGUGUUUGUCGACUACGAGGUGUCUGUGGCGACUUUGUCAAUCUCAAGAUCUACCGGUUCACUCUCUUGGAGGGGUGUGCGUGUUCAUAUGGGUGAAUGUGUGUGUGUGCGCGCGUGUUGAGAGCGUUUCUAAAAAAAAAA